rnacentral:rRNA from 1 species
AAAUCAUAAGCGGAGGAAAAGAAACCAACCGGGAUUGCCUCAGUAACGGCGAAGUGAAGCGGCAAGAGCUCAAAUUUGAAAUCUGGCCCCCUCGGGGUCCGAGUUUGUAAUUUGCAGAGGAUGCUUCGGGUGCGGUCCCCAUCUAAGUGCCCUGGAACGGGCCGUCAUAGAGGGUGAGAAUCCCGUCUGGGAUGGGCGGCCGCGCCCGUGUGAAGCUCCUUCGACGAGUCGAGUUGUUUGGGAAUGCAGCUCUAAGCGGGUGGUAAAUUUCAUCUAAAGCUAAAUACUGGCCGGAGACCGAUAGCGCACAAGUAGAGUGAUCGAAAGAUGAAAAGCACUUUGAAAAGAGAGUUAAACAGCACGUGAAAUUGUUGAAAGGGAAGCGUUGUCCACCAGACUCGCCCGGGGGGGUUCAGCCGGCACGUGUGCCGGUGUACUCCUCUCCGGGCGGGCCAGCAUCGGUUUGGGCGGCUGGUGAAAGGCCCCGGGAAUGUACCACCCUCCGGGGGUGUCUUAUAGCCCGGGGGUGCCAUACAGCCAGCCUGGACCGAGGCCCGCGCUUCGGCGAGGAUGCUGGCGUAAUGGUGGUCAACGGCCCGUCUUGAAACACGGACCAAGGAGUCUAACAUCUAUGCGAGUGUUCGGGUGUCAAACCCGUCCGCGCAGUGAAAGCGAACGGAGGUGGGAGCCCCUCGGGGCGCACCAUCGACCGAUCCUGAUGUCUUCGGAUGGAUUUGAGUAAGAGCAUAGCUGUUGGGACCCGAAAGAUGGUGAACUAUGCCUGAAUAGGGCGAAGCCAGAGGAAACUCUGGUGGAGGCUCGCAGCGGUUCUGACGUGCAAAUCGAAUCGUCAAAUUUGGGUAUAGGGGGCGAAAGACUAAUCGAUCAUCUGUAGCUGGGUCUUGC